rnacentral:rRNA from 1 species
ACGGGUGAGUAAUACAUCGGAACGUGCCCGAUCGUGGGGGAUAACGCAGCGAAAGCUGUGCUAAUACCGCAUACGAUUACGGAUGAAAGCGGGGGAUCGCAAGACCUCGCGCGGACGGAGCGGCCGAUGGCAGAUUAGGUAGUUGGUGGGAUAAAAGCUUACCAAGCCGACGAUCUGUAGCUGGUCUGAGAGGACGACCAGCCACACUGGGACUGAGACACGGCCCAGACUCCUACGGGAGGCAGCAGUGGGGAAUUUUGGACAAUGGGCGAAAGCCUGAUCCAGCCAUGCCGCGUGCAGGAUGAAGGCCUUCGGGUUGUAAACUGCUUUUGUACGGAACGAAAAAGUCUUCUCUAAUACGGGGGGCGAAUGACGGUACCGUAAGAAUAAGCACCGGCUAACUACGUGCC